CCCGGGAGCGCUUCAUCGAUCCUGACUGCUGUUUUCUUCUUAUUGACCAGCACGACAACGUCUGCAGUUGCCUGUCACUCACUCGAUCUGUCUGUCUGGAUCGAAAUAGGCCCAUUUGACUCUGAUUGACAUCGGGAGAAGAUUCCUUCCCGGCAGUGGAAGUAAGGCCACAUGAAUUUAUUGAAGGCGCUCCGGUGUGUUCUCGUCGCUUUGGGUAUUCCGACGUGUUUGCCUGGGAGUGCAAAGCGAAGGCGCUCUUUGCAUAAACUCCCUUUGAUUGACUGCCGAUGCAUCCUUCGGAGAUCACCGGAGCAAACGGUUAAAGUGCAACCCACCCCCAGAGACAUUAAAUAGGGUAACCCCACAACUAGGAUUUCCAUCUAAAGAAGACUUCUGGAUUAAAAGUGAAGCAUCCUCAGCUAUGAAGAAUCCAGUUGCCUCCAUUCAACUUUUGCGGAUUACCAUGACGUGGAUGACUGAGCAUCCACCCAGACAUUUGUUAUCAUGUGUGGUGUACUCAAGACAACCAACGCCACCACAUCACACUCUUAACCAUAUGUCCACCCACAAUCAAGGUUUUGGCAAAGUACCUGGACAGAUCUGAGAGAGGCAGCAAGGAGCCACACAGGAUCCAAACUGCCGUAAAUACAAAGAACAAGAAGCGAGGUUAGCCAAUUCUUCUACUUGUCAUUGCUUUGGUGAUAAAAGACUCAGAGGACACUUUUCAAAAACACUAUCACUAUUGUUAUGUUCCACGCGACGAUAAGGGAGUUUGCGGCUCGGACGUUCCACACACAGACAAAAUAGGGCAUUUCUUAAGUAUUAAGCAUGUUUGACAAUCGACAGCUGUCGAAAAAUUUGACUCUUUCACACCUUCAGAUUCUUUCAGAUUCAGACAAUAUGACCUUUUGCUAACUUGGUUGGAAAGUGGGAAAUACAGUUUAGCUGCAAGAAGCAGACUCAUUUGGUCCAAGACUCAAAUGCCACACAAAUCCACUGGUGCAAAAUUCCACUCAGUGUACCAAAUUCUAGCAACUAAUAAAAGCAGGUCAGCCUCAGAUUGUUUCUUAUACUCUGCAAUAUUCCAAAAUAAAUUGAAAAUAGAAAUGGACAAGCAACCGUGUGGAAGGUGCGAUGUCAGGUGAAGAAUGUCCUGGCCUCCAACUUUAAAUAAUGAAACAGUCAAGGGCUUAUGGGAACUGGUGCAGCUUGGGGAUCAGAAUGUCACCAGCUCUUCUCAAACCCUCAGAGGUGGACAAGCAAAAUGAGAAACAAUUGUCUCACUACCUUACUUGUUAAUUAGCCCAUGAAAAGUCACAUAUACACACACACACGAAUAAGCAGUAGCCACGCAAGUGUUAGAUUGCUUUGUUGUUGCAUCACUUGGCUCGCCCACUCGGUGUGUGUGUUGUUUAUUCCUUCAUUUAUUUAGCGGCUCCUUGGGUGCGGCUUCAAAGGGAAUACAAAAGCGAACAGGUUCUUUGAGUAUGUGAGGAUCCAAGCAGGUGGCUGCGUUCGAAAACACCUCCAUCUCUGCUAAAAACCACACGUGUGGACAAAAGUGUCCAAAGGUGAAAAAAAUUGAGGAUGUUUAGGAAAGAUUUUAGAAUAAAAGCGGACCUUGAUGGUACUCUUCGUAUGCACGUUCACUUCUGUGAACUAGGAUGCUGGAGGGAAAUGGAUUUGUUUGUGCUGGAUUUCUUUUCAUUUAACACAUAUUCUCUUCAUAUCGUACAACCGCAGGGGCAGAGGCUGUAGCUUAAGGUUCACAAUCUCAGAGUAAUGUGAUAAAUUUGUGAUAAAUUUGUUACCUUAGGAAAUGACGUAUACUUUGCCGACGAGAAUGAUACACGAUGCAACAAUAAACAUCUUGGCCAAAAAAACAUCUUGAAGACAUCAUGAUAUCGUAAGCAUUAAACUUGUCAAUUGCAAAUUAUGUAUUUCUAAAUAUUUUAAGUUUUGCUUUAGACAAUUAAAGAAGUGAAAUAAAUAAAUUGACCAAAAAUAGAAAAAAAAAAAAAAACUAUUUUCGUUCAUAAUAUCAUUUAAAAUGCUGAAAUGUCCAAUUCGAUUCGGGUGGGAAUACCUUGGACGUAAACCAACUAUAUCCAUUUAACUGCACAUCAAGUAUACAUGUCAUUAUUGAAUAUGAUGGCAAACUUAAGCCCAAUUACUGUUUUUCUCUUUGAUCAGAACUAGCAUAGCAUAACAAUACAAUACAUUCCAAUAUCAAUCUUUUGUCGCAACUGUAUAGGUUCCACUGAGCUGUCAGCUGUCCCCUCCUUGGGCCGUUACCUUAUCGUGGUGGAGGGGUUUGUGUGUCCCAAUGAUCCUAGGAGCUAAGUUGUCUGGGGCUUUAUGCCCCUGGCAGGGUCACCCAUGGCAAACAGGUCCUAGGUGAGGGACCAGACAAAGCAUGGCUCCAAAAACCCCUAUGACAAAAACAAUUGAUGGAUUCAGGUUUUCCUUGCCCGGACGCGGGUCACCGGGGCCCCCGUCUGGAGCCAUGCCUGGAGGUGGGGCUCGAAGGCGAGCGCCUGGUGGCCGGGCACAGCCCGAAAGGGUAACGUGGCUCCCCCUUCCCAUGGGCUCACCACCUGUGGGAAUGGCCAUAGGGGUCGGGUGCAGUGCGAACUGGGCGGUGGCCGAAGGCGGGGACCUUGGCGAUCCGAUCCCCGGCUACAGAAACUGGCUCUAGGGAUGUGGAAUGUCACCUCUCUGGCAGGGAAGGAGCCCGAGCUGGUGUGUGAGGUCGAGAAGUUCCGACUAGAUAUAGUCGGACUUGCCUCCUAUCACAGCUUGGGCUCUGGUACCAGUCCUCUCGAGAGGGGUUGGACUCUCUUCCACUCUGGAGUUGCCCACAGUGAGAGGCGCCGAGCAGGUGUAGGUAUACUUAUUGCUCUCCGGCUCGGCGCCUGUACGUUGGGGUUCUCCCCGG